rnacentral:rRNA from 1 species
UUACUGUCUCCUCUUUCAAUCAGUGAAACUAAUCUCCCCGUGAAGAAGCGGGGAUACUUAUAUAAGACGAGAAGACCCUAUGGAGCUUCAAACCCAACUACACCCCUAACUCUAUAGCCCCUCAACCACACUGGCCCCUGUAUAGUUGAUUUUAGGUUGGGGCGACCACGGAGUAAAACAAAACCUCCAUAAUGAACGGGCCUACCCCCUUAUCUAAGAACCACACCCCCUAAGAAUUAGAAUACUAACAUAAAAUGAUCCAUUAUUUGAUUAAUGAACCAAGUUACCCUAGGGAUAACAGCGCAAUCCAUUUCGAGAGCCCAUAUCGACAAAUGGG